GCCAGAUGCAGUGGGUGCACCUGUAGUCCCAGGUACUAGAGAGGUUGAAGAGAAAGAAUUGCUGGAGCCCAGGAGUUCUGGGCUGUAGUAUGCUAUACCAAUCGGGUGUUUGGCAUCAAUAUAGUGACCUCUCCAGAGUGGAGAACCACCAGGUUGCCUGAGGAGAGGUGAACCGGCUCAGGUCAGAAAUGAAGAUAGUCAAAACUCUCUUGCUGAUUAGUAGUAAUAAUGGGCCUGUGAAUAGCCACUGCAUUCCAGCCUCAGCAACAUAGCAACAUCCCAUCUCUA
ensembl:misc_RNA Metazoa_SRP Metazoan signal recognition particle RNA